AAAAUUCUUAUAAAAAUUAUGUCUAGUUAUUUUUAUUGUACUAUUUUUAUGUAACAUUAAAAAUAAAAAUUUCUUUCUUUGCAUGAAAGACUAGAGUUUUUACUCGUUUUUUUUCGAUUUUGAUGAUUUAUUUAUUGAAAAUAUUUUAGUUUACGCAGAUUUUUACUUGGUUUCGAUACAAGAAUUGUGUAUGAAAAUUUUGAUUCUCUAUAUCUCAUUGCAUUGAGAUAAUUUAAAAUUAUAGAUGCUAUAAUGAGGAACGGAUUCUCUGACAUGCGAUAACAGAAGACGAUAAAUCAUCAUAUAAUACUGAUAUUAUAUGACAGUAGAGUUCUCACCAGGAAAUUUAGUUAGUGGACUAUAAUGUUAGAUAUUUAUUCAUGUAAACAUAAAAACAAUUAUGAAAAACAGAUAAUGAUUCUAAUAGCUUAUAAGUUGCAAGACAACAAGAAUUAUAAUUUUUUAUACAAUUUAAGAAAUUUUUUCAUGAUUCCUUGGAAGAGAAUAUUGCAGUUACUUGUUUCAAUGAAGGGAAAAUUGUACCAACUGACAACUAUACAUAUGAAAAUCUUUAGAAAUCAUCAUAAUUUAUUCAGGUUAAAGGAUAGUUAGUGGUCAGAAUUACAAUUGGCAAGAUAGAAUAGCAUAUUACGAUUUCGGUUAAAUAUGCAUUUUUUAAUGCAACUUUCAAUCGAUACUUCAAUGAAAUGAAAACUAUAAGUGUGAGGGUCAAGAACGCGAGUUGGAUAUAAAGUAUCUC
rnacentral:lncRNA from 1 species